rnacentral:sRNA from 1 species
GCACUAGGAAGCUUUUAUUUUCUUCAUGAAUCCUUAAAAAACAUCUACCAGUUUGACUUUAAAGCUAAGAAGUAUAGAAAGGUCGCUGGCAAAGAGAUCUACUCGGAUACCUUAGAGAGCACGCCCAUGCUGGAGAAGGAGAAGUUUCCGCAGGACUACUUCCCCGAGUGCAAAUGGUCAAGAAAAGGCUUCAUCCGGACAAGGUGGUGCAUUGCAGACUGUGCCUUUGACUUGGUGAAUAUCCAUCUUUUCCAUGAUGCUUCCAAUCUGGUCGCCUGGGAAACAAGCCCUUCCGUGUACUCGGGAAUCCGGCACAAGGCCCUGGGCUACGUGCUGGAAAUCAUCGAUCAGCGAUUCGAGAAGGUUUCCUACUUUGUGUUUGGCGAUUUCAACUUCCGGCUGGAUUCCAAGUCCGUCGUGGAGGUAGGUGCUGGCUUCCCUCCCGCCCCGGUCUCAGCCUUGCUCCAUGUUGAGGAAAAGAGUGGAAGGAGCAUGGCCCCUUACUGGCACUUUCAAUGCCGUCCGCCUCCCGGGAUGCGCUUUUUAAGGCAAAACCUUGCAAUGAAGAAGCAUGUUUUGCUGUCGACAGAGGGAUCUGUGUUGGAAUGCGGGAUCCGUGUUGCAAUCCGGGGUGAACGGGCCCUCAAGGUUGCCCCAGAUGGCGUGUGGCAGUGCUGUGGGGCUGUGCCCUGUGGCUUCUGCCGUCGGCACACAAGGAGCUGCUGGAGUGCCGUCGCAAUGCCGCCCCCUCGAUGCCCGCAGAGCCGCAGCCUCUGCAGAGUGUCAGCUCCUUCACACUGUCCAACUUGAUCUCAGCGAUUUUUCCUCAUAACACACGUAGAAACUGUCAGAGCCCGUUUUAAACAUUGUGCUUUUCUGUCUGCAAA